AGUUACCAACAAAUGAAUAUAAACGAAAGAUUGGGAUAGAUACGUGUGAGUAUAUUGAAACCGGAAUGCGCCUAGCAAAAACCGCCUAGAAUACUCAAUGAAAAAAGAUGGAAACAAAAAUUUUAUCACCAAAAUGUUUUUAUGAUGAAACAAAACCAAACUGAGAACAAAUGUACAGUCUUAGACAAGAAGGUAGUCAACAAGAUAUAAUAUUAAAAGACCCCUGUUGACACCUUUUUCGAAGAAAAUUAAAAUAAAAUAUAAUAAAAUAAUAGAAAAGAAAGAACGAACCCACAAAGAAGAGGAAGAAAAGAAAAACCUCAAUAAUGUCAAAACAAUGCAGUGGAGGAGGAAAUGAUUGCUUUUUUUAAUCGACAAAACAAGCCACACAAAAGAAAUAAAAAUUGGCGUAAAAUGACGGAGAACAACCAGGCACAGCUAUAUGCUCCCUUUGAAAGAAGUUAU